UACAGAGGUCUCAAGCGUUGUUCGGAUUCAUUGGGCGUAAAGGGUGCGUAGGCGGCGCGGUAAGUCGGGUGUGAAAUCUUGGAGCUUAACUCCGAAACUGCAUUCGAUACUGCCUUGCUCGAGUACUGGAGAGGAGAUUGGAAUUUACGGUGUAGCAGUGAAAUGCGUAGAUAUCGUAAGGAAGACCAGUGGCGAAGGCGAAUCUCUGGACAGUUACUGACACUGAGGCACGAAGGCCAGGGGAGCAAACGGG
rnacentral:rRNA from 1 species